ensembl:lncRNA
AAGGGCAAUACGCAGGCGCCUGGUAACUUCCCUACUCAAAGGGACACGUAUGUUUUGGUACGUCAUCUGGCAUAAUUGGCAGCGACCAGUCAGAGAGUGACACGUCCUAGGCGAGGAUAGUUUCCUAUAUAAGGGACGGUUAUUCCUCACUCUCCGUCUCCGCAUUGUAAGCUUAUGCUCUCCCUCUCAAGACGCAUUAAAGCUUUUCUGCAGUAGGAUCCUGUGUGUGCCGCGUCAUUCCUGCUGGCGAGACGUAGCGCGGGACAUCUGGUGCCGAAAACCCGGGAAAGACCUCGCCAUCGUCAGCACCUUCGGAGAUCCCUUGGCGACAAGGAGGAUUCAGAACUGCAGGACAAUGAAAAUCCCAUAUGGAUCCCAGGAUGACUUACUCGGAGCAUCACAGCAAGUGAUCAAGAAGGGACUGGGACUCCUGCACCUCCUCACUCUUCUUCCAUGGAUGCCAGCAACAGUGCAGGGCGAGCUACGAUGGGGAAUAAUGUCAACCUUUCCACUCCCGAUGCCGGUGAUGUACCACUAACAGGGAUUUAGGGUUGGCCUAUUUACCUAAGGAUCCACAGGUUGAACGACUAAAAGAAAAUAGGACUACUCCCCUUAAGGGCAGCCUUUGUUUUGGCAUAUUCAACAAAACAUCUUUUGAUCUCCCCUGCAUUAUGUUAUGUAAUCAAUCUUCUGCUUGGUUAAGGGAGGCCACAUGGGGAACUGGUGAGGAGGACAUUGUGGCUAACGCCACAGUUCUCUAUGGUGGUGGCCUUACAUUGCGUUAAUGGUAGCUGCACUGAUCUUACGCCCAUGGCGAUGCUACUUGGAGGAAAGGGCGAAAAGGGACGGUUGUCAUUUUCCUGGACGGGGAACAUCAAACCUGCUGCCUCUGUCUGGACAGCUACUCAUAUAAAAUAUCGCAGUAGUUACCCGCAUGCCCCGCUUUAUCCCGAUCCCUGUUGAUGCCCCGGGGACCAUGACCUUAUUUAGAGGAAAAAGAG